UGAACUCAUGGUUUGGCAGGGCUUCCACUUUCUUCCAGUUUCUAGAGCUGCAUUUCUUGUUUUCCUUUGUCCCUGUCCCCUUCAUCCAUCUUCAGGGCCAGCAGUGGAGUGUCUCAAAGUUCUCUCUGCUCUGUUUGCAUUUCACUGUCUUCUCUCCCCCCGUCUGAAAUCUUCUGCUUCUGUCUUACGAGCACACGUGACGGCAUUUAGGGCCCAUCCACAUAACCCAGCACAACUCUCCCAUCUCCCAAAUCCCUUAUUUAAUCACAUCUGCAAGCACACUUUGGCUGUAACAAGGCGCUGGAAGGAGAACUGAGAAGGAGUUGAGACUGUCGAAUUCAAUCAAGGACAAAGAGGCCUCGCAGUGUCCAAGGUCUUCACAUGCCCCACGACUCUACCCCCGCGACGCUAGCUCUGUUAGCUCCCAAGUGUGACCUUGAGAAAGUGAUGUCAUCUCUCUCAACUCCGAGCACCCCCCACCCCAUCCACAAAAUGAAAAUGCAAACUUUCGGCAUGGCUGUGAUUGUGCGGACUUAAAGGAUUUUAAAUCCCUGAGAGCACAUAAUAAAGUGGUUUAUCUGUAAA